rnacentral:rRNA from 1 species
AUUGAACGCUGGCGGCAGGCCUAACACAUGCAAGUCGAACGAGUGGCGGACGGGUGAGUAAUGUCUGGGAAACUGCCCGAGGGAGGGGGAUAACUACUGGAAACGGUCGCUAAUACCGCAUCCCAUCGGAGGUGCCCAGAUGGGAUUACCUAGUAGGUGGGGUAACGGCUCACCUAGGCGACGAUCCCUCGCUGGUCUGCGAGGAUGACCAGCCACACUGGAACUGAGACACGGUCCAGACUCCGACGUGAGGCAGCAGUGGGGAAUAUUGCACAAUGGGCGCAAGCCUGAUGCAGCCAUGCCGCGUGUAUGAAGAAGGCCUUCGGGUUGUAAAGUACUUUCAGCGGGGAGGCGUUACCCGCAGAAGAAGCACCGGCUAACGCCGUGCCAGCAGCCGCGGUAAUAC